CAUGAUGUAGGGCCAUCCACUGAAGCAUGGGCAGCCUAUAAAGAAUAACACUUCUAAAAAAAUUCCUUUCAGCUCUUCAUCUAGGGCCAGGCCUUGAAAGCCUCCCUCCCAUCUAUCAUGUAACUUUGAUUGUCUUGAUCUUGUACAAGUCUUGUGCAGGCAAACACAGCUGCCACGUGGGCAUGAAUGCAGUGAUCUGCCAUAUGUUCAGAAGGUACAGCUGAUAGUAGUCUUCCUGAAACUCUGGCUCUUAGAAUCCUUCUCCCUUUCUUCUGUGAAGCUUGCUGAGCCUUCAGAGGAGGGCUGUGAUGUAGAUGUUGCAUUUAGGACAAAGCACUCCACCAUCACUCAAAUCCUGUUAGUUCAUGUCUUAUUUUCUUGAUUUUUUUCUGAAAAUCAUGUUUUAUUUUUAUACUAAUUUUUUUAAAAUGUAGUAUGAAUAAGCUACAAUAUCAAACCUCAGUUCACAGAGCCAAAUUCUUCUUUGAGAAUAAUAAAUUUUCCCAAGUUUCAGUUUCCUUUUCUCCCUCCCCUCCUCAAAAAAUUUUUUUAAAAUAAUUGUUUAAGUUUCCUACGUGUAUACAGUUUACUGGGAUUGGGAUUUAGCUGGCUGGUAGAGCACUUGUCCAACAAGCACAUGGCCUUGGAUUCCUGGGGGAAACAAAGAACUAGAGCAAUGUAUGUUUCACAUCGCCUUCCACUGUCUUGGAAUUACAGGCAUGUGCCUCUAUACUUGGUUUAUAAGGAACUGAGGAUCAAACUCAGCUCUUUGUACGUGGUUGGCAAGCAUUCUUCUACCACCUGAACAUCCAUUGUUGGCUUAACCCAUGCCUCCUCAAACAGAUUAAACUGGGAGGUAAGAUCUGAUCAUGGGAUGAUCAUAUGUUUAAAAGAAGUAUAAAGUAUUAUAUAUAUGUAUGUAUGUAUACACUACACAUAAUUAUAGAUUAUCAGUUUUCUUUAUUUUGUGAAAGUCUUGUGUUGGAAGCAAAGCCUACAGUUUUGUUUUGUUUUGUUUUGUUUUGUUUUUUAAAUAAGAGAAACUGGCUUAAUAAAGGGAGACAGAUUCUGGUGACAGAUUCUUAGGCCCAGAAUAUGAUCCUUCAUACCAUGAUUGAGUAGAUUCUCAUGCAUUUCUUAUAAGAGAUCCUUCCAUCAAAAAAAAAGUGUGUGUGUGUGUGUGUGUGUGUGUGUGUGUGUAUAAACAGUUAAUACUUGAUGUUUUUACCAAUUCCUGACAGACUUUCUUCAAUGUUUUGUUUUAUUCUAGUUGUUUUUUGUUUGGAGUGUGUGUGUGUGUGUGUGUGUGUGUAUGUGUGUGUGUGUGUGUGACAUAUGCACAUAGAUGUACAGACUCUUGUUUGAGCACAUGCUGAAGUUACAGCAGUAUCCUCUGCACCUUAUUAAUUGAUAUCUUAGGAUUGCCAUUGGUGUGAUGAAUCAACAUGACCAGAGCAACUUGUAGAUGAAACAGUUUAUUAAGCGUCCUUACAACCAUUUGUCACUAAAGGAAGUCAGGACAAGAACUCAAAGAGGAUAGGUAUCUGGAGGCAUGGAGUGUGCUGUGUGUAUUGGCUGGCUCCCCAUGGCUGGCUCAGCAACCAACCUGGGAAGUGGCACUGCCCACAAUAGACUGGGCCCUCCCACAUCAAUCCCCAGUUAAGAAAAAUGCCUUACAGGCUUGCCCACAGCUCAGUCUUAUGGAGACAUUUUCUCAAUUGAGGUUCUCAAAUUACUCUAGUUUAAGUCAAGUUGCCUUAAAACGAGACAUUGCACCUGGGGACAGAAUCUCUCACUGAGCCAGAAGCUCAACAAUUUGGCUAGACUAGCUAGCCAGUGAGCCUCAGGGAUCCACCUAUUUCCCCUCAUAGGCCUCAUGCCAGCGUGCUUGGCUUGACAUGAGUUCUGGAUAACCAAGGUUGGGCCCUCAGGUCUGCACAGUAGGCUCUUUACCAGCAUACACCCCUCCAUGCCUCUCCACCCAGUCUUUAUACAAAACCUGCUUCCUGUGCUAUUGGUUUCAGCAGAAUGAAUGAACAAUAGGUGUAAAAUGUUCAGACUAAAGGGAAAUUGUCCAUUAUAAUGAUUGUUCAGAACAGAUGAACAUAACAGGUCUUGCCCUAAUCUGACUGCUUUUCUUACUGGCACUUUGACACUCUUUGCUGAUCAUACAGCUCUCAUCUGGAAUGCCUUUUCACUCUCCAGUCUCCUUUUAAGAACAUAACUCUUCAGUUGAACCACUCCAGUGUAUGUGCUUUUAGUAUAAGAUUUUCAAAAAACAAAAGAACCAGAUGGUGUUCAUGUGCUUAGCAGUGUGCCAGAUGUUUUACAAAUUAUUAAAAGGUGAAAAUCAUUAUUUCUGUGGUAAAGAUUAGAGAAAAGGUACUUUUCAAUAUUCAAUUUAAAAAAUCAGUUUAGUACUUAAGUUGUCUGCUUGGCCUUCUGGAUAGCUGAAAAUAAUGGUUAACAGCUUUUCAAAGAAGAGAAAAUGACUAUUUAUAGUUUUUUUAUAUUAGCUAUCACCUUCAGCAUUACUUGUAGACAGAUAAUGCCAAACUACAAUCUAAUUACAUUUUACUGUAGCAGCAGUUUCCUACAGACUUCCUUCCCACUGCUAUGAGGCCUUGUGAGCAAAACUAGACGUGAUGUGUCACUGAGAUAGAAGGAGCACUGGUAAAGGGAGACUUGGACACGUUACCAGACAGACUGUAUUUCUUCAUUCAAAAUCUAAGUAGAUCUUCAACAAAGUCAUGGGGUAGAUCAAUCUAUAAGCCAUUUUAAGAGCCAGAGAGCUCUUAAUUUUUGUUAAGGCAGUAAAUGUGAUUUAAAGAGAUAGUCUAAAUAAAACCUUCCUAGGACCCCCCGAAGCACCC
rnacentral:lncRNA from 1 species